CUCUGUAACUGGGAGGCAGGUGGAGGGUGGAACGAGCAAUGUGGCAGAGUCAUGACACAGCUCCUUUCUUCCUGAGCCCAUGGGACAGGGCGUGUGUGUGCCUCCUUGCCUCGCCUGCACGCCCCUGACCAUAGAAGACCACAUGGGACCAGACAGAGGACUGGAAGCCUCAGUGUCUCAAAAGUUGUUUUGCUUAUAUGAUUUUAUGCUUCAGCCAUGACAUUUUUAGUCCAUUUUUUAAAACAUAGCAAGCUUACGGCAAAAAUCCACUCAGCAGCAUGGAAAGCAGGGGAGGAUGAUUUCCUUCUUAAAGAUAAACUUUAAAAUCAGUACAUCCUAGAUCGGGGUAGGAAUAUUCAGCAUCCCCUUGAGAACAGAAGCAGUUCCCAGAACUGACUUUAAUUGGAACUGGAGGAAAGUCUUAGCAAUCUGAAAACUGCAUCCUGGAAAAAGGGGAACCGGAAGGCACGAUGUGUUAGCUGAGGAGAUGCUUGAGAACAGACCAUCACACACAGAAACCAGGGCUGGUCCUUCUGCAGAUCCGCCUGAGGUGAGGCAAUCUCAGUGUGCAAACUCCAUGGCCAGGUGUCCCCGAAAAGCCCCUCCCACAGGAACACAUCUGCAAAUCGGAUCACUUCUGCCCAUAUUCAGGGCCCCAUACAGAAUAGCCAAAGGUGGACCACGCCCAGAGAAUCUUCCAGGAUCUCCACAGAUGCCAAGCUGCCUGAUUAGCACCAGACAUGAUGGUGCACACUGUAAUCCCAGCACUCUGGGAGGCUGAAGCAGGAAGAAUGCAGAUUCAAGCCCAGCCUGGCAACUUGACUCAGACCUUGUCAAAAAAAAAAAAAAAAAAAAAAAAAAAGCCUGAUUAUGUGAUUCUGCAUACUGCUAUAGAAUUGCUAUAGGGUGGAACAGAGCUGCUUUGUGUAUGUGGGGGGGGGGUAAUCACAUUCUCUAUGACAAAAUGAAAACAUUGCAUGUCCUUCUCUAGGAGGGCACUCAGCACUGGGGGCAAGUACUCUUCACCCUCUUCCUGGAGGGUGUCCCUGCCACUGCAUGCUCCCAUGUGUACUGCACCAGCAGAUAGGGCUCCUCAUGUUCCCAGGACCGCUGAAGGCACCCACUCCUGCAGAGACCACCGUGCCCACCAGCAGCAGAACCCCAGGAUUCUGUCCUGGUCACUGCACUGUGCCUACACAAGGAGGAAGCCAGCAGGCGGCAAAAUUGGGCUGACACAGCUCUUCCUCGGUGUCAACCAGACCCACACUGCCAAACAGAAGAGCUUCCACUGUCAAUUUUAUUAUUCCUGCAAGCAUUUCAAAUGAAGCAAAAAAUUUACCAAAACAUACAAAAAUAUACUUUUUUUUAAAAAUUGCAAGUGGACAACAGAUUGAUGGAAUUGCUUUUCUGACUAUUCAGAAAAUUCAACAUUUGCUUAACAGUAACUGCAUUUGACACCAGCCACUGGAGCAGAGCCGCUGCCAGACAUUGAUGAGCAGGAGAAUUGCUGGCCACCUGUGCAGGCCACAGGAGGGGAGAGGACAGCAAGAAGGGGAGCAGCAGUGGGAGGAUCUCACAGCAGCCUGAUUUCGCAGUGAGCUACGUCCUGAGCAAUUUUU